UACAGAGGGGGCAAGCGUUGUUCGGAAUUACUGGGCGUAAAGGGCGCGUAGGCGGCCCGUCAAGUCCCGUGUGAAAGCCCCCGGCUCAACCGGGGAACGGCGCGGGAAACUAGCAGGCUUGAGUUCGGGAGAGGGAAGCGGAAUUCCGGGUGUAGCGGUGAAAUGCGCAGAUAUCCGGAGGAACACCGGUGGCGAAGGCGGCUUCCUGGACCAAUACUGACGCUCAGGUGCGAAAGCGUGGGGAGCAAACAGG
rnacentral:rRNA from 1 species